GCCUUUUAAACCUUAGAAGUGAAAUGCAAUUCUGUAGAAUUUUUGAGUUAAAACGAAGAGCUGAUCUUGAAGAGAAGAGCAGAGCAAGGAAUGAUUUGUUCAAUGUCUGGUGAGUUCCAUUGUGUUUCUGUGCCUUAGGAUCCCCACCUAUAAAGACGGGUUCAAAAUUCUUGGUGGACAACUGGCAUGAACUCGGCAACUCAUAUCUGGCAGGGAAACACCAGCGUAUGAGAAGGACCAGUUAAUAAAUGAACUCUUUCCAUACAGAUGCUGUAGUCUGGGAUGUCUGAAGCCACAUGCAGAGGGAAUGCUGAGCCCACACUCAACCAUAUUGGACAAAGACUUUGUGGAUAUAGAUAUGAAUAGGGUGAACGUAAACUAGGAGAUGAGCUGACUGGGGAACUGUGACUGUAACGGUUGUCCAGUGGCUUAUGGUUGCCAGCCAUUUCUGUUUGGUCAGACUAGU